rnacentral:rRNA from 1 species
AUUGAACGCUGGCGGCAGGCCUAACACAUGCAAGUCGAACGAGUGGCGGACGGGUGAGUAAUGUCUGGGAAACUGCCCGAUGGAGGUGGAUAACUACUGGAAACGGUCGCUAAUACCGCAUACCAUCUGCUGUUCCCAGAGGGGAUUAGCUAGUAGGUGGGGUAACUGCUCCCCUAGGCGACGAUCCCUAGCUGGUCUGAGAGGAUUACCAGCCACACUGGAACUGAGACACGGUCCAGACUCCUACGGGAGGCAGCAGUGGGGAAUAUUGCACAAUGGGCGCAAGCCUGAUGCAGCCAUGCCGCGUGUAUGAAGAAGGCCUUCGGGUUGUAAAGUACUUUCAGCGAGGAGGCGUUACUCGCAGAAGAAGCACCGGCUAACUCCGUGCCAGCAGCCGCGGUAAUAC